rnacentral:misc_RNA from 1 species
CCGCGUGGGAAUGCCGCCAGGGACGCUCCGCGUUCCGCUUCUGGAAGCAACGGCUCACACCCCUGGCGGCACUACCACCUCC